rnacentral:ncRNA from 1 species
GUUCUCUGUAAACAGAGGGCGGAAGAGGGAAUCAGGUGAGAGUCCUGAGCGAUCCGGUCACUGUGACAGAGGAGCGAUCUCUCAGUAUCCCAUUGUAUGUAAGAUGUCUGUAUUUCCGGCCGUUCGCACUGACGGAAGGAAAAGGCGGACAAUAUGAGAAGGGGAGAGAAAGCGAUGAUUCUGGAGCCAGGAAACCUGCUUUGUAU